GCGAAUGUGGCGGAAUUGGUAGACGCGCCAGACUUAGGAUCUGGUGGGGUAACCCGUGCGAGUUCGAGUCUCGCCUUUCGCACCA
rnacentral:tRNA from 1 species